UACGGGGGGAGCAAGCGUUGUUCGGAUUUACUGGGCGUAAAGGGCGCGUAGGCGGCCACCGCAAGUCGACUGUGAAAUCUCCGGCUUAACCCGGAAAGGUCAGCCGAUACUGCGGGGCUAGAGUGCAGAAGGGGCAACUGGAAUUCUCGGUGUAGCGGUGAAAUGCGUAGAGAUGUGGAGGAACACCAGUGGCGAAGGCGCUUUCUGGUCUGUAACUGACGCUGAGGCGCGAAAGCGUGGGGAGCAAACGGG
rnacentral:rRNA from 1 species